CUAUAUCUUUUGUUUAUUUAUCAUUGAUUCUAUCUAUGAAUCAAGUCGAAUUUGUUUUUGGCCGAAGCCCCGGAUGGAUUGGAUCGUUUCCGCCAACGAAAUGAACGCGGAUUACAAUUUGCAUUGGCGGAGUUGCUUCCCAAAAAUGUUCAUGAAGCACUUGCAGGUAAUGAUUUAAUUUUUAGAAGUGACUGAAUUUAAUGAAUUAUUUUUAUACAAAUACAUAUAUGUAGUUAAUUCUUAUACAAUAUUUGCAAGCAUUGGAGUUUUUUUUCAGGGAUUUUAGCACACAUACCUUAACUAAAGAUGUUAUCAGACAACUUGAUGAGAAUAUCCCGAUCUUAAUUUGGAGAAUAUUUUCCCUCCGUCAUUCUUAACGUCAUGGAAGAUCUAGUUGUCCACCUCUCGCAUGAGGCAUUGCUUCAUGAACCUGUUCACUACGGGUUGAUGUUUCCGAAUGAACGCUCCAUGAAAUAUUUAAAAGGAAAACAAACAAUCUUGCAAGGGUGGAAGGUUCAAAAGUUGUUGAGAGUUUGACAGAGAAAACAUCUCACUUCACUUCGUCUACUUUGGCUCACAAGUUCGGACACGAAAGGGCUCUAAGAAGAUAUGAUGAUAGUGAUGUUAUGCCGAUAUAUGCUGUAGACGGUGUUCCAAACAUUUUCUGCCAGAUUAGACGUCUAAGUGGCAAACUGAAAGAAGUUUGGUGGUUGAGUCAAGAAAACUGUCACAAUUCCCACACAUAUGUACUCCUAAAUUGCGAGGAGAUGAAGUGUUUUGAAAGGCAAAUAUGUGUUCUUAUUUUCAUUAUAGGUAGAUUAUGAUGACGCAAUAUAUACUCUAUGGUUUCACAAAUUGAUUCACGUCCCGAUUUCUAUGGUCACCACAACACCUAUGUAUUUUACACGAGGUUUUAAUUUUCAUGCUUACGAGUAUGGAAGUCUCUGGAAACAAUCAACAAUGGAAUAUGUGUGAAAGGUGAAACAAAAUUGUACGGGGUCUUGUAAGAGAUUAUUAAAUUGGAAUUCUCCGGUUUUAUGAAGGUGAAAUGUGGCUUCUUCAAAUGUGACUGAUUCGACCAUGUCGUCAAUAGGGCUAUUCGGUAUAAUAAGUUUGGAGUUGUGGAUAUCAAUUUUGCACGAAGGUACAACAAAUUUGAACCCUUAAUAUUGGCAUCUCAAGCAUAACAAGUUUAUUUUAUUCCAUAUAUUUGGAUCAGAUAAUCUAGAAUAUCUUGGUUAUUCGCUAUAAAAGUUACACCUCGAGCAUGAAUAAUUGGUGGUGAAAAGCGACAUUACAAAUAGAUUCUGUAAAUGAUGUGGAAAUACAUGAACAACCUAAAGAUAAAAUCUUACUUGUUGAUCAAAACCGUGAAUAUGAAGAUCUUCCAGAUGAUAUGACAGACGAAGGCAAUGAAGAUAAAUUUGAAGAAAGUGAUGAUUGGACUGAUGACCUGAGUGAUGGUUCUAAUGGUGAAUUUCAUUGUGUUAUAUUGUUUAAUCAUGUAACAAUUCUAUGUUUCAUUGUACUGUAUCAACUCUAUGUUUUCAUUAUAUUUCUAAUUAUGUAAUAAAUCUAUGUUAGAAAUUAAAUUCAAUGUCACAAAAUGAAAUGCAAUGUUGUACUAAAGGUUUAGGGGUUAAAGAAGUAUACAUAUAACUUAUAUAAUCAGGGUUUAGGGGUUUAGAGUUCUGAUUUAGGGUAUAAACUAUAUUUGUUGUAACUUAGUCGCUAAAAUACAUGGUUCGUCCCUAAUUCCUCGUAAUAAGAAAACACGGGUCGACCCUAAUUCGUCGUUGCACAAAAACACGGGCCGUCCCUAAUUCGUUGUAACAACAAACGCAAAUCAUCCUUAUUUCUUCGUAACAUUAUGACUACAUUGAGACGAAUCCAAAAUCCCUAUAUAAACCCGAGCCCAUCGAUCCCAUUGUGGUUGCUCAUUUGUCUCAAAACCUCCUCUCUCUCUCUCUCUCUCUCUCUCUCUCUCUCUCUCUCUAUCUCUCUCUCUCUCUCUAAGGUAUUUUUUCAUUUAGUUUAGGAGGUUAGUUAGGUAUGAAAUUAGUUUGGGAAUUGAAUUAGCUUAGGUAUGAAUUAGUUUAAGAAUAAAAUUGGAUUACAAAUAUUAUUAGUUUAUAAAUUUAACAAGUUUAUGAAUAUAAUUAUUUUUUUAUAGAUUACAAUUGUUCCAUAUCAAUAAUUUAAAUUUUUUUGUUUUUUUGACAGAAGGUUAGUAGGAAGGAAAACUGGAACAUACCACAUAUGAGGAUACAUUUAUCGGUGCUGGGGAUCCAUUAGGCGUUUCUAGUUCAUGUACUGCAUCCACUCCAGAGUUCCUCCUCCUCCUCCUCUUCAUUGACCCCGAUCGACCGUCUAACACUUAUUGGUAAGUUUUAAAACAAUUACUUUUAAAGUUUUUACUUCAUUUAUUACAGGUUCGCGACGAACAAUGUCAUCGGCUGUAUAGUUUUGGAUACCAUUAAAGGGAACUUUCACGAAGUGCAUCCAAAUUGGUCUCUUAGCGGAGUACGUUCGGACGCCUUGGUUCAAGUCUUUUUGGUAAUAUAUAUAUUUAAAUUGUCUUUCAAAUUUCUUUAUUUGUAUUUUAAUGAAUCUUUUUUGCAGCAAAGAUACUAUUGGUCUUUUGGCGUCAAAGAAGGAAUGUAGAAGGCGUUCAACGGUAAAUGCAAAGUUUUGCCUGAAAAACAACAUCGCCGACUGGAAGGAGAAGUGGUUGGACAUAGUAGAAAAUGAAAAACCCAUAUAUAUCAGCGAUUGCGUUUGGACUGGCCUGAAGGCAUAUUGGGCUGCUCCUUGCACGAUUAGAAUGGCCGCUUUGGGCUCGGUGGCCCAGAUGAUGCCUGAUCCCGAGGAAAAUUUACCUAUUGUCCACAAUCUGGACAUAUUCCACAUGCUGGAAUGGCCCUACAGACUGUAAGUAUUGAUUUUCUUAUCUCUUUUAUUUUAUUAUUAUUAUUAUUAAUGAAUUUCAUUUUAAUUCAAGUCUGAUUUGUUAUAUUUUUAGACCGCUCGGGAAGGAGAACCACCAUCUCUUUCCUGACUUUUCAAGGAGACACACCAGCACCAGAAUGGGACAUUUGUGGAUCGUAGAUCAGAAAAGAUCCACAAUGAUGUUGUGGUGAAGAAUGAAGAGCGUCUGACACAGUUGACGCAACAAACUCCGGAUGGCACACCUGUCCAGCUGUUCACGCAAGAUAUGGACAAAAUAUUUGAAUAGGUUUUCCCAAAGAAAAGGAGACGGAUGAUUGGUAUUGGUUUGGUUAACGAUGUCCCGAGGAGACAUCAGCCUACGCUGCAAGGUAAAAAGCUUCUCAGAUCCGUGUGGAUCUGACGGAGGCCAAGACCAUCAUAGCAACGCUCCGAGAUGACUAAGAAGACACUCAAGCUCGGUUGAGGGCCAUGGAGGGGAUGUUCGAUGUCAAAGACUCAGUGUGCGUGGGACACUGUGCGUCAAUCCAUCCACCAGGAACCUACUGCAGAGGAGCAUAUGAAAAUGGAGCCGGACCGAUAACCAUAGUUCAACGUUUUUUUUACGACCUUAGCCGUUAGAUAUUAAAUUAAAAUAUUUUAUUUUUGGUUUGUAACAUAUUUCUGGUGUUAUAAUAUUUUAUGUAAUACAUUUUUAAUUUUAAUUUCAUAAUUUAUUAAUUUUUUGAAAAAAAAAUGAUUCUCAUUUUUUUUUAUUACAUUUUGCAUAUUCAAUGUUAAUUGGUCGUAAAUUUACUAAGACUGUCGAUGUUAAUUGGUCCUAAAGUUUGACACUCAUUAACAUCUAUAUUACGACUAUGUAACAAUGACGAUAUAUGAUGACCCUUUUACAAUCUUAUAUACAGCGUAAGGAAUUAUGUUACGAUGAAACAACUACGAAUAUUUUUCGUCAUAUAAUUUAUGAUGUAAUUACGAUGAAAUGUACGUUCGUACAAUGAUUUAAUUUUCAUUCUAACAACCAUAUAUAUCGUUGUUAUGAGUCUGUGUUACUUGUACUGUUACAAUCUGACUUAAAACAUAUAUGUUAGAAACCAAACCUCAGACAACAACUAAAAAAGUUGAAUUAGCCUUAUAUUAUACGUAUGGUACCGAAUCUGAAUGUGACCCCAAACACUCAUGCCAAAUUGAUACCAUAUAUUAUGGGUAAUGCUUUAGAAAUAAUACAAAAACCAUAUCCAAUAUGAUUUGACAUUAUUUUGUUCCUUGAUUUUUACUUAUACAUUGGAAACAGUUGACAUUUCAUAGCAUUCUAGUUCACACAUGAGUUUUACCGUUCCAACAAUCAUAUUUGCAAUGACAAUAAUUUUUGGCUUUUAUGUCGCAAAAGCCAUUUGAAUCUGGUCCAAGUUUAUCUCUGCAAGAUUGAUCACAAUCUGGAAAUUUAACGCAUGGUCCAAUAAAUUUGUCGCACCAUAUAGAUCCCAUAUUCUGUUCACCUAUAUAAGAAAAGAACUAUUAAAUCUAGAUAACAAAAAGCUUAAUAAUACUUAAAUCAAUAUAUGUUGUACAUGGCAAUGAAUAGUGAGCUGAAUCUAAAAAUUAUAGAAAAUAAUAGUUAAUUUUAAAUAAUAUUAGUAUGGAUCAGUUAUAAAGAUCAAUGAAUACAGAAGGCUAUGUGUUA